rnacentral:rRNA from 1 species
UUAUUGCAACAAGUACGGGGGGAAACCCUGAUGCAGCCAUGCCGCGUGUGUGAAGAAGGCCUUCGGGGUUGUAAAGCACUUUCAGUAGGGAGGAAGGUAGUGUAGUUAACACCUGCAUUAUUUGACGUUUACCUACAGAAGAAGCACCGGCUAACUCCGUGCCAGCAGCCGCGGUAAUACGGGAGGGUGCGAGCGUUAAUCGGAAUUACUGGGCGUAAAGCGCAUGCAGGCGGCCUGUUAAGUCAGAUGUGAAAGCCCGGGGCUUAACCUCGGAAUUGCAUUUGAAACUAGGCAGGCUAGAGUCUUGUAGAGGGGGGUAGGAAUUUCAGGUGUAGCGGUGAAAUGCGUAGAGAUCUGAAGGAAUACCAGUGGCGAAGGCGGCCCCCUCGGACAAAGACUGACGCUCAGAUGCGAAAGCGUGGGGAGCAAACAGGAUUAGAUACCCUGGUAG